UGCUUGCUCUUCCUAUGGCAGGGAAGGCACCUGUCCUUGGAGGGGCCACUAAGUCUAGAGCUGCUUUUAGGGAGCUGUGGGUGGCCCGGGCCUCCUUCCUCAGGGAAGCUGAGGACACCGUCACAGCGACCAAAUCAGUGAGGCAGCCAGCAGUCAGGGCUUCUAUAUCACAAGCCCAGCUCUGUACUUGUAAGGUUGUGAAGUCUGGUAAAAAUGUUCCUGAGUUGCUUUAGGUAUCUACUUGGCAUGUUCUUUUCCGUAGCUUGAUUACCUGAGGUGACUUUAAUGUUUCUAACCUCAUUUGUUCACAUUUUCUG
rfam:Camelus ferus unplaced genomic scaffold scaffold316, whole genome shotgun sequence.